UUAUUUUCUCGUUUUACAGAU
rnacentral:siRNA from 1 species